UACGAAGGGGGCUAGCGUUGUUCGGAUUUACUGGGCGUAAAGCGCACGUAGGCGGACUAUUAAGUCAGGGGUGAAAUCCCAGGGCUCAACCCUGGAACUGCCUUUGAUACUGACGGUCUGGAGAUCGGGAGAGGUUGGUGGAAUUCCGAGUGUAGAGGUGAAAUUCGUAGAUAUUCGGAGGAACACCAGAAGCGAAGGCGGCCAACUGGCCCGAUACUGACGCUGAGGCGCGAAAGCGUGGGGAGCAAACAGG
rnacentral:rRNA from 1 species